UACGAAGGGGGCUAGCGUUGCUCGGAAUUACUGGGCGUAAAGGGCGCGUAGGCGGAUGUUUAAGUCAGUGGUGAAAGCCCAGGGCUCAACCUUGGAACUGCCAUUGAUACUGGACAUCUUGAGUGCGGGAGAGGUGAGUGGAACUGCGAGUGUAGAGGUGAAAUUCGUAGAUAUUCGCAAGAACACCAGUGGCGAAGGCGGCUCACUGGCCCGGUACUGACGCUGAGGUGCGAAAGCGUGGGGAGCAAACAGG
rnacentral:rRNA from 1 species